rnacentral:pre_miRNA from 1 species
UUGUGCUUUCAGGCUCUUUACAGUGCUGCCUUGUUGCAUUCCUGUCAAGCUGCGGUGUAAAGAGCUAGGAAAGAGCAG